rnacentral:misc_RNA from 1 species
UUUUUUGGCCCCACCCCNUUAGCUUGACAAUCCCCCUCGGCUUGUCGGAGCCCCGAGANGAGCUAUCCACCCUUUGGGUAGUGGGCCACGGANUNGGGGUUGGNACGAGCUUUUCGGAAAGUAAUUACGGGCCCCGUGAGUUCAUUGGGAUUGAAAGUUAAGCAAGUGGAAGCAGAGGAGGGCGGAGUGGGUUUAUUGAGAAAUUGUUUUUUUUUCGUAUUUCGUCGUACAUAAGUAACAUCGCGUUAAGUGCGCGACGGUCCUUUAGAGGGAGAAGUUGAACGCUCCGGACAUUCUCGAGGGGAGAAAGCGAUUCGCUUCAAGUAAAUGGCC